rnacentral:RNase_P_RNA from 1 species
UAUUUUGGGUAAUCGCUAUAUUAUAUAGAGGAAAGUCCAUGCUCACACAGUCUGAGAUGAUUGUAGUGUUCGUGCUUGAUGAAACAAUAAAUCAAGGCAUUAAUUUGACGGCAAUGAAAUAUCCUAAGUCUUUCGAUAUGGAUAGAGUAAUUUGAAAGUGCCACAGUGACGUAGCUUUUAUAGAAAUAUAAAAGGUGGAACGCGGUAAACCCCUCGAGUGAGCAAUCCAAAUUUGGUAGGAGCACUUGUUUAACGGAAUUCAACGUA